CACAACCGGAGACUAAAUUAAGCACAAAUAAAACCUUGUCUUUCGAAAGAGUACGAAAAACCUUGUUUUUCGAAGGAAAUCGAAAAAACCUUGUCUUUCAAAGGAGAUAUAUAAACCCUUUUUUUCGAGAGAGACAUUAUUGUAACCUAAAACAAAAGGCUUAAAAGAAAGUAAAGAUUGGGGCUUUCCACCAGUGAAAUCCGAUGGAAGCCCCUUUAAGACAAUGAAGACUAGGUUUAGGAGAGAGAAGAGAGAAAAGAAAGCUAGGGUUUAGAAUUAUGUUUUUUUUUUAUUUGUUUUAGGGCUAUAACAUUAUAAGAUUUGGUUUGUCUAAAUUUUUUUAAUCUGGUAGAUCUUUAUAUGAAUAAGUGAAAAGAAUGAAACUUUAUAUGGUAUCCCCACGACACGUGCCUCAUAUAUUACUUAAUACACCCAAUUUUCCUCCAAUUAACUCCAAUAAAAACCCCUGCUUCUCUCUCCUUCCUCUUUGUCGUUCAAUUGGAAAAAAAAUUGCAGAACAAAUUCCUCUAAAGCUGUUUGAAUAUGGGAUUUCAAGGUGUCAACCAAGCAUUUCAUCAAUUUCAAACCAGGACGGAAAUUCUACGCUUGUAAGUUCUACAAACAUGAAACCGGUCAAAGGGGAUGCAACACGUUUGAGUAGCUUGAUGAAGACAUUCUUGACUAGCAAAGGGUUGUCACUAAUGUCUUGAUUGCAGAAAGGAGCAAGUAAGCCACUGAUUUAAGCAUUUUGAAGGCCAAACUUAUCACUAACAGAGCAUGAGAAGCAAAGGUUGUAUGAAGAAUCGGACAAAGUAAAGAAGAAAAUGCUCAAGAAAAAUGAUUGACCCUCAAUUUGCUAGAAGAUGACAGAGCUUUAUUCUUCCCUUUAUAUCUGACCAUGGCAGCAAAUGGCAAUUAAAAAAAAAAA